CCAACCUUGCCAUAGCUCAGUGGUUUAGAGCGCCUGCCUUGCAAGCAGAAGGUCGACGGUUCAAUACCAGGUAGGGCUGGG